rnacentral:rRNA from 1 species
UACGUAGGUGGCAAGCGUUGUCCGGAUUUACUGGGCGUAAGGAGCGCGCAGGCGGUCGUUCAAGUCGCGUGUGAAAGCCCCCGGCUCAACUGGGGAGGGUCACGCGAUACUGAUCGACUCGAAGGCAGGAGAGGGUAGUGGAAUUCCCGGUGUAGUGGUGAAAUGCGUAGAUAUCGAGAGGAACAUCGGUGGCGAAGGCGGCCUUCUGGACGAUGACUGACGCUGAGACGCGAAAGCGUGGGGAGCAAACAGG